GUGAAAUUGUUGAAAGGGAAACGAUUAAAGUCAGUCAUGUUGGUAGGGAAUCAACUUGUUGGUAUGCGAGUUUUCUCGUGUCCUUUCCGGUGCACUUCCUUACUUACAGGUUAGCAUCAAUUUUGGUUAUCAUAUAAAAAUUGAGGGAAGGUGGCUUUUCUUCGGAAAAGUGUUAUAGACCUUGAUAAAUGUGGUGACCGGGAUUGAGGUUUGCAGCGGAUACCCUUUCGGGCUAGUCACCUGGCUUCUGAUGGUUACCCCGUCUUCGAUAGCUUGCUAACGUUGAUGGGACUCGAUCGUCUAGAUGUUGGAGUGAUCAUAAAUUCGCUAAGGAUGCUGACGUAAUGGCUUUAAACGAC
rnacentral:rRNA from 1 species